rnacentral:lncRNA from 1 species
UUCAAAUCACUUGUGCUCGGUUUCAUAAGUGUCUAACUAAGCGUAAAUAAAUUAGCCACUCAUAGCUAGUAAAACAGAACACGAAUCCAUUGAAAAGAACAUGAAUUACAAGCUGAUUCUUGGAAGGCAAAGUUCUUCAAGUCGUCCGAUUUCCCUUCUCCCGAUUAGCCGAAUUUACUAGCUGCUACUCUAGCUCCUUGAUCAGAUUUG